CCUACGGGAGGCACCAGUGGGGAAUAUUGCACAAUGGGCGCAAGCCUGAUGCAGCCAUGCCGCGUGUAUGAAGAAGGCCUUCGGGUUGUAAAGUACUUUCAGCGGGGAGGAAGGGAGUGAAGUUAACAACCUCAUUCAUUGACGUUACCCGCAGAAGAAGCACCGGCUAACUCCGUGCCAGCAGCCGCGGUAAUACGGAGGGUGCAAGCGUUAAUCGGAAUUACUGGGCGUAAAGCGCACGCAGGCGGUCUGUCAAGUCGGAUGUGAAAUCCCCGGGCUCAACCUGGGAACUGCAUUCGAAACUGGCAGGCUGGAGUCUUGUAGAGGGGGGUAGAAUUCCAGAUGUAGCGGUGAAAUGCGUAGAGAUCUGGAGGAAUACCGGUGGCGAAGGCGGCCCCCUGGACAAAGACUGACGCUCAGGUGCGAAAGCGUGGGGAGCAAACAGGAUUAGAUACCCGGGUAGUC
rnacentral:rRNA from 1 species